rnacentral:rRNA from 1 species
UACGUAGGGGGCGAGCGUUGUCCGGAUUCAUUGGGCGUAAAGAGCUCGUAGGCGGUUUGGUAAGUCGGGUGUGAAAACCCCAGGCUCAACCUGGGGACGCCACCUGAUACUGCUAUGACUCGAGUCUGGUAGGGGAUCACGGAAUUCCUGGUGUAGCGGUGAAAUGCGCAGAUAUCAGGAGGAACACCGGUGGCGAAGGCGGUGAUCUGGGCCAGUACUGACGCUGAGGAGCGAAAGCGUGGGUAGCAAACAGG